UUUGCUGGAGAUCUUUUGACUGCUGUUGAUAAUGAAGAAUUAAAUCGUGCCUUUAGAAUGGUCUCUAAAAUAUGCGAUGCUCCUACUUUAGAUGAUCCAUCUCUUCGUGGAGCUUCCUCUGCGAUAAAUCCAAACCUCCAAUUCACAAUCGGCUCUUUAGGAGCCCGUUUAUCGUAUGUAAUCUCCUCGGACUACCAAAGAAAACUUAUUAAGCUUGAGAAAGAAAAUGCUAAGCUUAAAGCUGAAAAUUCGACCAAUUAUGAUUUGAUUCAUUGACAAGGAGAAGGAUCAUCUUCAGAAGAUUAAAGAAUUAGAAAAAUAUUUAUCUGCUCGCAACUCUAAGUAUCAGCAAUUGAAGAAGAACUUCAUCAUCAUGGUUUCAAACAAUAGUAAUGAUACUAAUCGUGCUCGCGAAGCUACUGUUAAGAAAGUCUGCAUUGAGAAUAACAUCCCUCUUACAAAGUAUAAAUUUCCAGAAAUCCCUGAUAAUGAACAUAUUUCUGAUAUUUCAGACAGUGAAGGAGAAGAUGAAGAAUCUGAAGAAGAACUAAAUGGUUCUGAGGCUGAGCGAGAUGAAGAAAAUGAAGAUUAAUCAUUUUCACUUGUUGUAAAUUCUUUGCCUUCUGAAUAUUUUCAUGUAUCCUUAAAAACAUGCACUUUUUGAGCAUUAAUUU